AAAAGAACUUUGAAGAGAGAGUUCAAGAGGACGUGAAACCACUGGUGGCGAAGCGGAUAGAGUUGAUUAAGCUGGUAGCAUUCAGUGCUGAGUGUGUUACUGCUGCUGCUAGCGGGCUUUGCGGCAUGCAAGGUGGCUGGUGGCUGGUAAGUGCGGCUCGGUGCGCAUUUGCGAUUGGCUAACGUUGAGGCGCUCGGUUGCCCCUUCCGAAGUGAGGCGUGUUGCCCACCCUUGCUGGUGGUGUCUUGCGCAGCGCGGAGGUUGUUUGUGGCGGCUGAGUGUAAAGAGAGCAUCGCUUUCGCGCGCGUGCUCGCUAGCGUGCGUCUAGUAGUGGCGGUGACUUGUCACUUGUUGCUGCUAUGGCGUAUGUGUGGUGGGUUUGUGCUUGCGUGCUCGUCUUCGGCGUGAUCGUCAACCACCUAUCCGACCCGUCUUGAAACACGGACCAAGAAGUGUAGUAUUUGCGCGAGUCAUUGGGUGUCCAAACCUAAAGGCGAAAUGAAAGUAAAGGCAGCCUUGCGUUGCUGAUAUGUGAUCCGUGCGUUUUCGAAUGUGCGGCGCAACAUAGCCCCAUGCCAGCUGCUUGCAGCGGUGUGGCGGUAGAGCGUAAAUACUGCGACCCGAAAGAUGGUGAACUAUGCCUGAGCAGGAUGAAGCCAGAGGAAACUCUGGUGGAAGUCCGAAGCGGUUCUGACGUGCAAAUCGAUCGUCUGACUUGGGUAUAGGGGCGAAAGACUAAUCGAACCAUC
rnacentral:rRNA from 1 species